UACGUAGGAGGCGAGCGUUGUCCGGAUUUACUGGGCGUAAAGCGCGCGCAGGCGGCACUGUAAGUAAGGUGUGAAAUCUCCCUGCUCAACGGGGAGGGUGCAUUUUAGACUGCAGAGCUAGAGGACGGUAGAGGGGGGUGGAAUUGCUGGUGUAGCGGUGAAAUGCGCAGAUAUCAGGAGGAACACCAAUGGCGAAGGCAGCUCGCUGGGACGGUACUGACGCUGAGACGCGAAAGCGUGGGGAGCAAACAGG
rnacentral:rRNA from 1 species